AAGGACGCCCGACGCCAGGGCUAAGACCCCCAGAGCAGACAAGCAGCCCAACAGAGACUCUAACAAUGAGUGGAAAACCACUUUCUCAUCCAGCAAGACGUCCUUCACCAGAGGCAGGGUUUCGAUCCUGAGGACUAAGUACGCCGUCACCUGGGGCAAAUACGCAGUGUCCUGGAGCAGAACCACCGUAAAGCUGGGCAGCUUCAGCGUAGCGGCGGGCACCACCUCCGUCUCCCGUGGGGAUAUAACCACCUCCCUCACGACUCUGACCUUCGCUCAUGGGACCAAGUCUGUGUCUGUGGUCAAAACCACCCUCAUCAGGGGCACAGAAACGCACAGCAACAUCUACUGGAACUUUCACACAUGAAUCGUGCACACACUCAGAAACCCCAGGAUGUGUCUGUGUGCUCAGUUUUAGCAGUCUUGGCAUAACCAGCAGGAUCAGAUGACACAGGCGGACUCCUCACUGGGCGCAGCGUUGUGUAACACCAGCCAGAGUCGUGUUUGUCAUCCUGAAACGUCGGGGGGGAGACGCUCUGCCUUGCGCCGCAUCGGCACAAACAGCCCAAAGAACCAAAGUCCCGUGCUCUGAUGCGCAGACUCGUAAUCGGGCCCCAAAAGACGCAAACGCGUAGCCACAGCAGGGCGUGUCUCCACCCCCUCGUGAAUAAGAGUACAGGCAAAGUGUGUCAUGGUAAGAGGAGGUGCAGAGGGGCCGAGGGUGCAGGACGGACAGCGAGGGUGUUGGGCUGAGAAGCACCGGGAAGUAAAUUAGACGUUUGAACCUGACGGGGGGGAGGGAGGGAGGACGAUGGCGAGAGAUCGAGCCGCUCUGCUGGUGACACGGGCAAAAACGUCAGACUUCCCCUGGAAGUUCACGCCUCUGAAACAGAGGAAAAUCCAAUGGAAGCUCCGUAAAAUUAAACUAGAAAUCGAUGCUAUUCCCAGCGUGGGAUGAAAGGCUGUCGGCACCGUCUGCUUAUUGAACCGGUAAAAGGUGGAAAGUGCUGUUUAUCUCCUCCUGAGCCACGCCCCGAAGAGCUCAGACCUCAGCCUCACCAUCACUCUGUUCCGUUCGUCUCACUCAUCCUGUCUAUGUUUUCUCAGGUUCACCGCAGCGUCGCGUCUCUGCAGUCUCGGACCUCGGCACCGCAGCUUUUAGCCAAACGAUACCGGUGUCUGGUCCAGUGAACAAAGCUCGAGUUGCAGAAUAUUUCCCACUGACUGCAGGGAGGCUCAACCCCCUGCCGUGUUGAGACAAAACUUGUUGCUAGUGGCAACAGCAGACAUGAUCCACGCAAUGCUGCCACCGUGGACGUGAAACACCGUCAGGUUUUCAUUCACACUAAACAUCUCGGGCUACGAUGCAGCCAGGUGGAAAACACUGCCUGUUACCUCGAGUCCUGAGACCGACACAGGCUUUGGGCUGUGAAACCAUUUGAAUAAAUUAAAAAAUUACAAUGCUAGAAAUUAUAAGAAUAUAUUAUUUCUCAGAUGUUUUUCUGAAAUGCAAUGUUUUCACCUGACAUGACUUUUUUUUCUUCCUAAAUUUAAGUCCUGGAUUCGGUUUUGCUUUUGGUGUAAUGUCAUAGUUCCACUAUUUCCGCAGGUUUUUCUUUUUUGUACUCAAACUGGUGCUGUACAUGUUUUAAUUAAAGGAGGUUUUCUCUGUUAAGUGCGAGGCUGUAAACAAGACACUGAACUACUGAGAAGAUUAAAAAGUCUCUGUGCCUGGUACCAGUGACCCACCAUAUGCCAGACCACCAAGAGUGUGAUGUCAGACUGAGAAACAUUACACAAGAUUCUGAAAACCCACCAAAUGACGUCCUCUGUGUCAAACCCAUCAGAUGUUGUUAAUGUGUGUGUGCUGACUGUCUGGUAAACCUGUAUAUGAGAUAUUAGGGCGGAGAAGGCUCGGCCUUGAUGUACUAAUCGAGCACUCACGUCAGCUUCGCUACUGCAGCCAGGCAGCGGUUCAGACUGUGUCUCCGUCAGAGCCCGGAUCCAGUGUCCUGCAUCAACAGGAAGCCCAGCCUGCUUUAAUGCCCAGCCAGGGGGCUCUGCUGAUUCACAACCUGCCUCCAGUCAAAGACUACGACUAGUUGAAUCAGCUUUGGCCAGAAUGACAUCAAAAGUGCAACGCCAAAAGGUCAGAAACAUCGCGAAGGAGGAGAUGCUGAUCUGACAGAUGCUCAUAAUCAAUGUCAUGUUAAUUACAAAACAGAGAGAAGCAGUGUAGUGAGCGUUACUGACGGAAAGCUGUUUAUUUCAGUCCUGUCCUGUGUUUGUCAUUAAAAUUCUUACAUAAUUAAAUCGGCUUUAGCACAGUUGGUCCAAACAGCAACAACUGUGUUUUAUGCCCUUCUUAAUCUUCCUGUGUUGUAAGUUGUAAGUCCACUGUGAGAACGUUCCUUUUAUUUCAGGCAUGAUUUGUGUGAUAUUAUGUGUUUGGCUUUGUGUGUAUCACUAAACAAAGACAGGACCUUGAACAGGAAGGUACUGGAAUAAAAUAUGAGUUUGUGUCA